rnacentral:sRNA from 1 species
CGGGAAGACCAGCCACGGAACAAGGUGUACAUUUGUACACCCAACCGUCGCAGCAGGCGAGAUCGCCGACCUGAGCCGCUCAGCUGCCGGACUGGUGUUGUGGCACGAGGGAGUUGUAACGCCUGUACUGGCACCAGGAGCGGGCCACGAACCUGCGCCGGACGACCGCUAAGGGUACGGCGCAGUUUCACCAUCAAGAACCUUGGGCCGCUGGACAGUGCGCGUGACCACGGCGCCCGCCCUCUCGUCGGGGCGCACAAAGUGGCAGCAGAAUCGA